CCCUUAGAUGUUCUGGGCCGCACGCGCGCUACAAUGAUGAAUUCAACGAGUUUAUAACCUUGGUUGAAAAGCCUGGGUAAUCUUUUGAACUUUCGUCGUGAUGGGGCUAGACCCUUGCAAUUAUUGGUCUCCAACGAGGAAUUCCUAGUAAACGCAAGUCAUCAGCUUGCAUUGAUUACGUCCCUGCCCUUUGUACACACCGCCCGUCGCACCUACCGAUUGAAUGGUCCGGUGAAGCCUCGGGAUUGUGGUUCUUGCCGCUUUAUUGUGGCGUGACCGCGAGAACUUGUCUAAACCUUAUCAUCUAGAGGAAGGUGAAGUCGUAACA
rnacentral:rRNA from 1 species